AUGGUAGAACCAUGUUCCCCACUGGGGUUUCCCUCGGACACAAUUCAAAAUAGGGAUUGCCCAGUAUCAAACUGCGAGCCCCAGCUGUCACUGCACCGGCCUGCCCUCGAGGACCUGCUGCUGGGCUCCAAUGCCAACCUCACGUGCACACUGAGUGGCUUGAAAGACCCCAAGGGCGCAACCUUCACCUGGAAGCCGUCUGGUGGGAAGGACGCCAUCCAGGGGGAUGCUCAGCGUGACUCCUGCGGCUGCUUCAGCGUGUCCAGCAUCCUGCCAGGCUGCGCCGAGCCGUGGAACCGUGGGGAGACCUUCUCGUGCACUGUCACCCACCCUGAGCUUGAGAGCCCGAAAACCGCCACCAUCACCAAGGCUUCAGGGAGCGCAUUCCGGCCCCAGGUCCACCUGCUGCCGCCGCCGUCGGAGGAGGUGGCCCUCAACGAGCUGGUGACAUUGACAUGCUUGGUGCGGGGCUUCAGCCCUGAGGACGUGCUGGUACGAUGGCUGCACGGGACCCAGGAGCUGCCCCGAGACAAGUACCUGACCUGGGGCCCCCUGCCCGAGGCCAGCCAAAGUGUCACCACAUUUGCCGUGACCAGCGUGCUGCGUGUGGAGGCUGAGGACUGGAAGAAUGGGGACAACUUCUCCUGCAUGGUGGGCCACGAGACCCUGCCCCUGGCCUUCACCCAGAAGACCAUCGACCGCCUGGCGGGUAAACCCACCCACGUCAACGUGUCCGUGAUCUUGUCGGAGGUGGACGGCACCUGCUACUGACCGCCCCCACCUGCCCUCCCCGCCCUUGAAUAAACUGCAUGCUUGCCCAAAGCAGCCGCGCUCCCUCCAACGCCU